CCAAUAGCGUAUAUUAAAGUUGUUGCAGUUAAAAAGCUCGUAGUUGAACUUCGGGGUUUACCCAUUGGUCAGGCUUAAUUGUCUGUACUGGUGAGAUGAAUCUCUACCUUCUGAGGAACUUUCAUGCCAUUUAUUUGGUGUGAUUGGAAAUCAGGACUGUUACUUUGAAAAAAUUAGAGUGUUUAAAGCAGGCUAACGUCUGAAUACAUUAGCAUGGAAUAAUGAAAUAGGACGGACUGAUUCUAUUUCGUUGGUUUCUAGGAUCACCGUAAUGAUUAAUAGGGAUAGUUGGGGGCAUUAGUAUUAAAUUGUCAGAGGUGAAAUUCUUGGAUUUAUUGAAGACUAACUACUGCGAAAGCAUUUGCCAAGGAUGUUUUCAUUAAUCAAGAACGAAAGUUAGGGGAUCGAAGACGAUCAGAUACCGUCGUAGUCUUAACCAUAAACUAUGCCGACUAGGGAUCGGACGAAGUUAAUUUUAUAAUGACGCGUUCGGCACCUUACG
rnacentral:rRNA from 1 species